GUUCUUUCCUGUGCUGAGAUUACUAAGAGACUGGGUCUCACUCUGUUGCCCAAGCUGGAGUACAGUGGCACCAUCAUAGCUCACUGCAGCCUUCAACUUCUGGGCUCAAGUGAUUCUCCCACCUCAGCCUCCCAAGUAGCAUGGACAACAGGUGAAAUUGAAGGCCAGCUUUUGGAACUCAACCUUCAAAGGAACUUAAAAUUUCCAUUAUGUAGAGUCCCUGAGGAAACUGGAUCCACUAGCUACACUGGCUGAGAAUGCUCUCACCCCAGGAUUUCAUUUUUAUUUUACCACAUCAUUGUUGGUAUCUUAAGAUCAAUGUACUGGAGCAGCGGGGUCUCACAAAGAGGAUACCUGGUGACACGCCCAGGCUUUCAGAAUGCGCUAUAGGGCUUUAGUGACUUGUCCAGGUUCAGCUGAAAUGUGCCAUCUGGGACCUACUAAUGCUUGUUGAACUUUACUGGAUCUCAGAAGCUGGGUCUCAGAAGCUCAGAUGUUCCUCAGAGCUACGAUAUCAACAACCUGUGAUGACAGAGAGAAGGUUGCUCCAUGAUGGAUUUGGAAACUUACUGGCUAGCUAAACCUGACUGAAUGGGAAGGAAUGUGGAUAGCUUUGGAACUCUAGUUUCACUAGAUGAGCUGGAAUUUGUAUUUUGACAAAUUGCACGUUAUGAUUAUUAAGUAAUGCAACUGAUUUUUUUCCCUUAAAACAAACAAUCUAGAAUCUGUGUAAUCAAAAUAAUUUCUCUAAAAGGCUGCAAGUAUAUGCUUAAAGUGUUGGGGCAUUCAGAGCAUUUGGAACAUUACAUUCUUUUGAAUGUCAAUUGGUAGAUGAAAAUACCAGCUUUUAAGUCAUACAUUUGAUUUUUUGAAACAAUAUGCAUUUAGAGUUUGUAAGUCAAGUGAAUAACUGAUAAGGUAAAAAAAAGGGGGGAGUUCAUUGUUGAGUAUGAAUUUAAAGUAACCAGACUGACUUUUGUCCAGUGGCUGUCAGUAAUUUACUUCAGCAGGCAUUUUUUUUUUUGAGGCUGUUCUAUGAUAUCAUGACCCUUCUUGUAGGAAUGUGCUUCCAGUGGUGAGGCAGUCUGAGAAUGUGUGAAGCAGUAUAAUGAAGCCAGACCAAGAUGGAAGCUUGGCCUGGGAUUUGAGCAUCAGGAAAACUGUUGAAGGGUUAUGUAUACAUCACACACACACACACACACACACACACACACACACACACACACACACUCUCUCUCUCUUCCAUACUCCUAUAACAACGUAUAGUAUUUACUCUACCUGGUGACAGGUAUUUACUAUACAUUGUUGAAGAUCUAUAACAUGGAAUGCCUAGUGCUAAGUGCAGUGUCCUUAGUGAAAUUGUAUUGGUUUGGAAUUAUUUAUGAGUUUGGGAUUAUUUGUCACUACCCUUAAAUGAUCUUGACACUCACCUAUUUGAAAAGAUAUUGAGGAUUUGCCAUUUGAUAUUGACCAGGGUGUAUUGUGCACAAAUAUUGUGAAUAUACAUCUGUCUGUCCUUAAAUCACUGUAAGUUUUAACUGGAAUAGAUUUGCUCCACAUUACUCGGUAGGGCUGAUAUUUCAUGCCUCAUGGAUGAGAAAAGAAUAGGCAAAAAUUAUAUCUCGGGCUGCCUCACACAUCUUUUAACAGGAUAAGGGAAAAAUAAAUAUAAGACCUAUGAGUUAUGGCAUCAGGCUUGAACUUUAAUUUAUGAAUUAAACCAACAAUAUUAUUGAUUAUUGCAAUUAUCUAUGUUAAUUUCAUUUGUUCUCCUUUUAAAAAUUAAUUAUGUUUAUUUUACCUAUUGUGAAUAAAGUCACUCCUCCCAUGUGCUUAUUUCUUGACUCUGGCACUAAUUAUUCUUCAGUGCCUAGAUUUCCUGGGACUGCUCAGUUUAAGUAACUUCUGAACAUUGGACUCUGAGAGAAAAGACAGUAAAGUGGGAUCUGUGGAAAAACACAUCUGCAAAUGUCUCAUUUUUUUCUUCAGGGGUAAGUUUUCUUCCUUGGAGACUCUUGUCUUGAAAAAGUGAUACUAGAUCACCAUUUGGCAAGAUAAUUACAAAAGGCAGGUAGAGUAAUUAUUUUACAUAGCUGUUAUAGGGUGACUAAGAUCUCAGGGAAUGACUGUGUUCUGUAAUCCACUUGCCCCACUCAAUACCCCAAGUUUUAUACAAGCCAAAGAUGCUUGGAGCAGAAUCUGCUACCUGAGGCUCCAGGGCCUUGGCCUAGGGAAACUAAUAUUUAACUUUUUAAGUGGUCAUUGAUGACAUCCCACUCCUUUCUGAGAUGGGUAUGAUUUGAAAGGCAGGUGUAUUCAUGGAGAGCAGGGCUUGGGACCUUUGCUGCAAGAGGAGGAACUAUUAGCCUAGACUUUUCUAAUAAGGACUUUCUCAUACCUGUUUCCUAGAUCUGGUCCACAUAGAAGAAAUCAGGGAACACACAGGGUAGGACUCUUAAAGGAGUAUGUUUCUUGGCUUUUUCCUAAAAACUAAAACAAAAACAUUCAUAGCAAAGCAAUUUAGCCCAGUGACUAAGAGUAUAGACAUUGGAAUCUGAAAGAUCUGGGUUGGAAUUCUGCUUCAGCCAUUUACUAAUUAUGUAACUUCACAUCUCUGAGAAUGGGGGAAAUUUUCUUUGCAGGGUUGUUACAAAGCUUAAAAGAGUUAAGUCAAGUGCCUGGAACAGAACAGCCAUUCAAUAAAUCAUAGAAAUUUUUGUUUUUACACAAAUUUUUAAAAAGUAAUAUUUUUUGCAUUUGUUAGAAAGACUAUAUUUUCUGUUUAGUGGAUGACGUCAUCAUCAUAAAAAUCACUGUUACAAGUUUUGUUUUGAGAAUUAAAAUCAUAUAUUAAUCCCAA
rnacentral:antisense_RNA from 1 species